rnacentral:rRNA from 1 species
GUGGGGAAUAUUGGGCAAUGGGCGAAAGCCUGACCCAGCAACGCCGCGUGAAGGAAGAAGGUUUUCGGAUCGUAAACUUCUAUCCUUGGUGAAGAUAAUGACGGUAGCCAAGAAGGAAGCCCCGGCUAACUACGUGCCAGCAGCCGCGGUAAUACGUAGUGGGCAAGCGUUGUCCGGAAUGAUGGGGCGUAAAGGGCGCGUAGGCGGCCCGGUAAGUCUGAAGUGAAAGUACUGCUUUUAAGGUGGGAAUUGCUUUGGAUACUGUCGGGCUUGGGUGCAGGAGAGGUAAGCGGAAUUCCCGGUGUAGCGGUGAAAUGCGUAGAGAUCGGGAGGAACACCAGUGGCGAAGGCGGCUUACUGGACUGUAACUGACGCUGAGGCGCGAAAGUGUGGGGAGCAAACAGGAUUAGAAACCCGGGUAGUCC